AUUGCCCUAGUAACGGCGAGUGAAGCGGCAACAGCUCAAAUUUGAAAUCUGGCCCUCGGGUCCGAGUUGUAAUUUGUAGAGGAUGCUUUUGGUGAGGUACCUUCCGAGUUCCCUGGAACGGGACGCCAUAGAGGGUGAGAGCCCCGUCUGGUUGGAUACCGAGCCUCUGUAAAGCUCCUUCGACGAGUCGAGUAGUUUGGGAAUGCUGCUCUAAAUGGGAGGUAUAUGUCUUCUAAAGCUAAAUACCGGCCAGAGACCGAUAGCGCACAAGUAGAGUGAUCGAAAGAUGAAAAGCACUUUGAAAAGAGAGUUAAAAAGUACGUGAAAUUGUUGAAAGGGAAGCGCUUAUGACCAGACUUGGGCUUGGUUGAUCAUCCUGGGUUCUCCCUGGUGCACUCUUCCAGUUCAGGCCAGCAUCAGUUCGCUGCGGGGGAUAAAAGUUUUGGGAAUGUGGCUCCCUCGGGAGUGUUAUAGCCCAUUUCAUAAUACCCUGCUCCGGACUGAGGUUCGCGCAUCUGCAAGGAUGCUGGCGUAAUGGUCAUCAGCGACCCGUCUUGAAACACGGACCAAGGAGUCGUCUUCGUAUGCGAGUGUUCGGGUGUUAAACCCCUACGCGUAAUGAAAGUGAACGCAGGUGAGAGCUUCGGCGCAUCAUCGACCGAUCCUGAUGUUCUCGGAUGGAUUUGAGUAAGAGCAUACGGGGCCGGACCCGAAAGAAGGUGAACUAUGCCUGUAUAGGGUGAAGCCAGAGGAAACUCUGGUGGAGGCUCGCAGCGGUUCUGACGUGCAAAUCGAUCGUCAAAUAUGGGCAUGGGGGCGAAAGACUAAUCGAACCUUCUAGUAGCUGGUUUCCGCCGAAGUUUCCCUCAGGA
rnacentral:rRNA from 2 species